rnacentral:rRNA from 1 species
AACGAACGCUGGCGGCAGGCUUAACACAUGCAAGUCGAGCGCCCCGCAAGGGGAGCGGCAGACGGGUGAGUAACGCGUGGGAAUCUACCCAUCUCUAGGGAAUAACGCAUGGAAACGUGUGCUAAUACCGUAUACGUCCUUCGGGAGAAAGAUUUAUCGGAGAUGGAUGAGCCCGCGUUGGAUUAGCUAGUUGGUGGGGUAAAGGCCUACCAAGGCGACGAUCCAUAGCUGGUCUGAGAGGAUGAUCAGCCACACUGGGACUGAGACACGGCCCAGACUCCUACGGGAGGCAGCAGUGGGGAAUAUUGGACAAUGGGCGCAAGCCUGAUCCAGCCAUGCCGCGUGAGUGAUGAAGGCCCUAGGGUUGUAAAGCUCUUUCACCGGUGAAGAUAAUGACGGUAACCGGAGAAGAAGCCCCGGCUAACUUCAUGCCAGCCGCCGCCGUAAGAC